UUCUUUGACAUGAGCUCCUUGCAAGCUGCACUUCCGAAUUCACAACUGCCAUCCACCUUCCUUGGUGGUGCAACUCAAUUGUUGUUUCCUCAAGAUCCGGUGACUCCUUUUAUCCCUGCAGCGUCACAGGGUGGCGUAGUAUACCUGUCUGGGCAGGCACCAACCUCGCAAUUACCGAAUGUCCCAGCUCAAGGACAUGUUGCUUCUGUAGGAGGAAAUCCAUUUGCGUAGAUUUCCUCCGGCAAAACUAUUCUGAGUUGGUAGUGAAUUUUCCAGUGACUAAUUGUAGCAUGUUAUCCAUUAUGCGAUAGUCUAAAAUUAUUUAUUAUCAUUCAUAAGUGUAUUUGUUGUGAAGAUAAAACCUUGGUGUGAAUAACUUGCCAGCUAAAUUUAUUGCAUCUUUUUCAGGUCUCCUGUUUUUUUCAGUGUAGCUCCAAGAAUUGGAUUUGUAGGGUUCUUUACAUUGGACCAAAGAUGUGAACCCAUCUCUGUUUUUUAUUAUUACGAUCCUCCAUUGCAAAUUUAAUGUCAA